GUUUCGUUGGUGUAGUGGUAGCAUGCCCUCUUUGGGUGACCUGAAAGGUUCCAUAUUGGGGGUGGUCCUCGGUUCAACCCCGAGACGAGACC